UUUGGGAGGGGGAUGAUUUGCAGGGCUCACCUCCUUUCUAGCUACCAGCCCCUCACUGGCUCCAUCAGCUAAAGUGUUAAAAAAAAAAAAAAGGCCCUUGGGUCCCACCAUAAGAGCAGAUAAAGAGGAGAGGUACAAUGACAGUCCUCUGGCAUUGUAGGGCUCUCUAAUUUAUGCAUCGUUAGAUCCUUUAAAGCAUCAUUUUGUAGGCAACCUAACGGACACUUCCAAAUUAGCUCAAAGUAUCCAAAUCUAAAGAAGAGGGACAACACACACAGAUACUGGCUUACAGAGAUGCUGGCUUAAAGUGCCGAGCAAGACAAAAGACAAAGAAGUGUGCAGGCACCAGUAAAACUGGAAAACAUGGGGAUGAGAGGGAAACAAAGACACGUUUUAAAAGUUUUCCUGGAAACUGGAAAUGUUUCUUCUGCAAGAUUUUAUUGUGUCUAAAAACCAAAGAGUAACUACCAAAGUUUAACCUGGCAGCACGUGCCUUGAAGAUCUGAGCAGUUCAGCAUUAUCUUUUUCUUGGUUUCCUGUGGUUUGAAUGUCCUUGGUGGUUUUGUCUUAUUAUUUUAAUCAACAACUGUGUUCAUUUCAGUGUACUUUUGCAAAGAAUCUGCCUUUUGUAGGGAGAAAAAGACCUAUGAUCACUCGUGGAAAGAAAAGGACAACCAGAGUAGUGGUUAAUAUUUUAAAACACUGUGAGACAAAAUGCCAGCUUCUAGCAGUUGUUUACAGACAUCAGUUACUGCCUUAACAAGGGAGGAUUCAUUUAAAGAGGAUGAUAGAACUUGAAUGUGGCCACAGCCCUAUGUACGAUAGGAAUUUGGACAGAAUGAAUGAAGAAGAAAGAGAAAGCCAACGAAGCAUUGACAUUCCUCUUUCUCUGCUUCCUCUUCAUGACUGAACUUCUCUGGUAUGGCUUCUCCACUAUAAGCAAAUGAAUGCUAUGAAACCAUGAGCAGAAUAAAUCCUGCUUCCCUUAAGUUUUUCUACAUCAGGCAUUUUUUUUUGUCACAACAAUGAGAAAAGUAAAGGUGUCAUCUUACUUGCUUCUUUGGGGGAUUUUUGCUUCAAACUUAUACUGGCUCCUACCUGCUCAGACUGACUCCAAAUGACACGAGGGAGGCAAAGCUUGUGUCUCUUCUACAACAAACUUAGAGUGUCUUCUUAAAUACAAUGGAAGUAUUCCUAUCACAGAACAUUGGAAACCUACAAGUUAGGACAUUUUUGUUUGUUUGCUUGUUGUUUGGAGAGCCAGUUAACCAGUAUACCAGCAGCUUAAUUCCUGACUGGCUUGACUACCAGGAAUUCAUUUUCUAGCCAAUCAGAUCCAUGGGGGAGUGGUCCCCUAUAGCUGGUUAUUCUCUACUCUCAGCUUUUCACAGUGCUCAGCUCAUAUCAUGGUAAAAGUGCUUGAGUAGCAUUAACAUAAUAUCCCCUACUUCCGUGCUGUUCACCACAUAGAUGCUAAAAGUCUACAUAUUCCUUUGAACUCUGAAGACCUGAGUGCUUUCCAAAAUAAUGUUACAUUCUGUCAGUCUAGGGUUUUAGUAUACCCUGAGGUAUAAUUUUAUCUGUCAUUGUCUUUGUUCAAAUAGCAUGAACCUGGUUUAGUUUUCUAAAGGAAACAUUCCACUCAUUUAAACUUAGAGUAAGCAUUGUUCUUCAAAGAUGUGCAGUUGAGGUAAAGCAAAGGAAGUUUGUACAAAGGGAAUUAAUAAAAUAUCUUGCCAGGAUGAGUUUGAUGAGGAGAUGGAAUAAUCAAAUGAUCAAAUGUUAAUGUGAAAAUUGGAUUUUUUUGGUACAACUCCAUCUGACUUAUUGAUACACUGAGUAUAAGUAUGCUUUAGGGACAAAGUUACCAGAUAAAAUACUGCUUCAGUAACAUUUAGUUUGUUUGUUUGUUUGUUUCUAUACCUACAUUAAAAAGCAGCCAUGGAAGUAGAGAAGGUUGUGAAAGAUACACAAGAGAUGGAAUAUAUGAAUCUUAAAAUCCAUGAAUCCAUCAUAUGAACAUCUUUAUUCUUUAAAUUUUAGAUAGAAACAAAUUCAAACUCAUGUAGAAAUUCAUACCACUAUUUUGUAUUUAAACCUCUGUAGUUCAUAUAUUCCAUCUCUUGUGUAUCUUUCAUAACCUUCUCUACUUCCAUGGCUGCUUUUGUCAGGGACAAAUGGAAUUAGAAAUUCACAUCCCACUAGGACAUCAUUACUUAUUUUCUCUCUGCAUAUUGGUGUCAUUUCUUCCUUAACUGAUCAUUAUCCUCUGUGUUGCAAAAAAACAAGGCCAGCAACUCUGUAUAGGAUGCUGUAGUCUAAUCCUAUAAAAGACUGUUUGAUUGAACUUGGUACAAGUGCUAACCUGCUAUGGCAGGUUAAAGACUUGUUUAAUAUUAGGUUAAAGAUAUUUAUGUGCUUGAGAUGGGAGGAGUAGAGAACAGCUAACAAAAGGUGGUGAAAAGCUAGAAAAAUUGAACAUGAUUGCCACACCUCUGUUUUACAAUAGAUUUCAUCCAGAACCCUUUUCUUAGACUUUUCUGUUAUCAUUGUUGCUACUAUCUUUGCAAUAUCCUUAGGUUUUCUUACUGUUUCCCCUCUACUUUAUGCUUAUUCUAUGAUCCCAAUAUUGACUCCCUUUACUUUUCUUGUCUUUCACAAAUAAUAAAAUAUGGUGUUCUGAUCAAUAAUAAAUCUCAAACUUGUUUUUUUCAUGCUAGUAAAAAAAUAAAUAAAUACAGCAACAAGAACAGAAAACUACCACUCUGCUACACCAUCAGCUCCAGGAUCUCAUAGGUUUUUUUUUUUUUUAAUAUAUCUCAGGCUGCCUGCUUCCACCAGGCUUUUUUCUCUCCAUUUUCUCCAAAUAUCCAUUAAGAAGAGUGUAUUUUUUUAUAUUCUUUUCAGAACUUCCUACACAUUAGAACCAACUUGUAUCUAGCCAUCUCAUACAUUAAGGGAGGUGAAGAGACAACCUUUUACUUGAUUUCUACUCAGAAAAUCCAUUGCUUUUAGGACCCCGACUAAAACUGUAGGUAACUUUCCCAAUGAUUCUAUUUCUAGAAGUUCUGUGAACAGUCUGUGGUCUUCUCUUUAUCCUAAGAACUCUCUGCUACCUACCUUUGUGCUAUCCUCCUCCCAGCAGGCAUCAAGACCCAGCUCAGAUUCUCUCCUCUGGUGACGCUCCUCCCUUUGAUCUUUUCUGAUGUCAUAUUUCAUUUUAGAUUUUGGGUUUUUUUUGAGUGAUGUAAAAAUGACUGCAAUGAUAUUAAAUUUAUCAUUUGCAUUCAUCAUUUUUAUUAUCUACUUGUUAAAGUGCAUUAUGUGGAAACAGCUGUAUUCUGAUAGAAUACUAGGUAGAAAUAUAAAACAGGGCAAGUAACUUGGCUUCAUUUGGUCUGUACAUGUAUAAAAUGAAGAGUGGAUUUGCUUUCGGAAAACAUUACAGGUUAAAUUCAUAAGAGUUCAAAAUGCCAAUAAGGCAAAAAUAAAUCACAAGCAAGGCUAAAGGACAUAUAGCAGCAGAGGUGAACUAAGUUCUCAAUUCAUGUUUAAGGUAAGCCGGGUAAGUCAGGCCCUUGGGAAACACAAGGUGUGUUCUGGACUAUUAUACAGGCAGGGAAGGCCAGUCCAGGUGUUGGUCCCCAUUAGGUCCUACCUUGGAUCAUAAAGGUUGAUAGAGAUAUCGAACAAUUUUGUAAAUAGUUCAUGAAAAGACAAGAGACAUCAAAGAAAGCAUUCCUCUACCUACAAACAUCUUUGUGAAGCCUGAUAGGACAAUUGAACUCAGGAUUAAACCCACUGUUCCCUACUUUUUAAAGACAGCUGCUGGAAUUUAGAGGGGUGCUUGGCAAACAAAGAAAGAGGUAGUAGGUCUGGUGCCAUUGAAGUACUUAUAUAUGAUUGCUUAUGUCAAAGCUACGUAAGGAUGAUGCUUUUGCCAUGCAGUAUGUUAUCUAUUCUUUUUUUUGUGGAAGAAAAACUUUAAUUGCUGUUGUAUAAAACACAUGUAUGAAAUAAGAAUUGGUUUUGAAUAACAUUAGUAGAGAAUAUACUCUAGAAAGUGGAGGUAAUGGAUGUAAAAACUCUGGCAGCAAUUUAAUAGAACAGUCACAGCUGGUCAGCUGAGGCCACAUCUAAUGGGGACGAAAGCCUUGUCUGUGAGGGUUUUGGACAAUGCCUGCAGAAAUAUUACACUGUACAUAAACCAAAUUGAAUUGUUUUUGCAAGUGUCAUAAGGAUUCAUACAGUCAGAGUUCUUUUCUACAUGUACUUCAGUUCCAUAGCAAGAGUGGCAUAGAACACCUAAACACAGACGAGAGCAUUCGUGCAAGAUAUCUAAUUCCUUGACAUAAUAAUGCAUACACUUCAAAAUGAUUACACUAUCAUUACACCUGGGGCUUUCUGCAACUACAAAGUGGUGGUUAUGGUUAGCAUGGCCCCCAGGAUCAACAUCUAGAAAGCAGCCACUACCUCCUGUGUGUCUUCUCUUUUUGUGGC
rnacentral:sRNA from 1 species